GAAGUUGGAGUCGCUAGUAAUCGCAGAUCAGCAACGCUGCGGUGAAUACGUUCCCGGGCCUUAUACACACCGCCCGUCACGUCAUGAAAGUCGGUAACACCCGAAGCCGGUGGCCUAACCCUUGUGGAGGGAGCCGUCGAAGGUGGGAUUGGCGAUUGGGACGAAGUCGUAACAAGGUAGCCGUACCGGAAGGUGCGGCUGGAUCACCUCCUUU
rnacentral:rRNA from 1 species